CAGGUAGAGGAAUGUCUGCAACUAAGCCGAGGGCCACUGGAUAAGGGUUGUUGAUGGUAAAACAGGUUAAAGACUACAUGAGACUUUGACAGAUGGCGGGAAACCCUCAUCCACUGGUACGAACCCGGUAGAGGAAUGUCUGCAACUAAGCCGAGGGCCACUGGAUAAGGGUUGUUGAUGGUAAAACAGGUAGAGGAAUGUCUGCAACUAAGCCGAGGGCCACUGGAUAAGGGUUGUUGAUGGUAAAACAGGUAGAGGAGUGUCUGCAACUAAGCCGAGGGCCACUGGAUAAGGGUUGUUGAUGGUAAAACAGGUAGAGGAAUGUCUGCAACUAAGCCGAGGGCCACUGGAUAAGGGUUGUUGAUGGUAAAACAGGUUAAAGACUACAUGAGACUUUGACAGAUGGCGGGAAACCCUCAUCCACUGGUACGAACCCGGUAAAUUGAUGGCUGUAAAACAGUGACCGUUGAUUCGCAUCGAGUUCUUUCUUGCAAAACGCAUGACCCCCCCUUUUUUAUUGUCUAAAUCAUUGCGACUUGGAAUGCUCUUUAAGAAAAGGUAUGGUUAUGGGGGUCUCUAUGCGCAAAAGUUUGACUUUAUUUUUUGUUGAAGUUAUUGCUUUUACAUUGAAUUUGUGUAGGAAAUCUUUUGGUAUAUUGUAACCUGAAUCGACUUGAAAGCGUUUUGCAAAGACGAGAUGUGCGUAAAUAUCUCACCUUGUAAGAAACCUAUUUCGUGGGGCAAUUGUCGUGUUAUGGCGUCUAUCUAUCUAUCUUCGGAUACUGUUGAACUCCCCUUUCGGGUAUUAUAAACAGAUCGCGAUGUCAGUGAAAGGAAAAGAUUUAUACAAUAUUGUACAAUAAAAUUAUUGGCAGUGAGACGUCAAAGAAAGAAAGUAAGACUGAAACAAAGUUUGAAAGUGUUGGUAUAUGUAUAGACAAGAGUUAAAAUAAGGUUUAAAACACACUCUGCCGCAACUAAUUGUAUGAGAUUUGGCUUAAUGCCAGCUCGAAGGAUUCAAACGUUGGCAGGAGGACAAUUUUUGGUGGGUGGUUGUUCGAUAGUAUGACAGUGCUGGGAAAAUAAGAAAAUUUAUAAUAGUAAGCUACUGUGUGAAUCUGCCUAUAAGCUAAAGGAUGUGUAUCGCGAGUCAAUCUCCUGGGUUUAUCAAAAUAUGUGGGGACGGGGACAGCUACUAAUGAGUGGAAAAUUUUGUAAAAUAAUACUAUUUUAGUAUCAGUCCAUCUGUUCUCUAGAGAUCUUAUACCAAGUGACUGUUGCAUGUCUGAGUCACUAUCAUACGUGGAAUAGCUGUAAUGUAGCCAUCUGAUUGCUCUUAUUUGAACAAUUUCGAUUUUAUUGAUGUUUUGUUUAGUGUAUGGCGACAAGACUGGAGACGAGUAUUCUACUUGAGGCAUGACAAGAGUUUUAUUGGCAGUUUGGUUUACUUUUUUGUUUUUAGUUUGGAUGUUACAUUUAAGGAAACCAAGUGUUCUAUUUGCUGUUGUACAUAUUCUAUCAAUGUGAGUGUUGACAGAAAGGUCUUUGGAAAAGUCUAAUCCUUCGUAUUUUGAACUUGGUACGGUUUUAAGGAUAUGGCCAUACAAUAAAUAAUUAUGUUUGAGUUUA